rnacentral:rRNA from 1 species
CGGACGGGUGAGUAAUGUCUGGGAAACUGCCUGAUGGAGGGGGGUAACUACUGGAAACGGUAGCUAAUACCGCAUAACGUCGCAAGACCAAAGAGGGGGACCUUCGGGCCUCUUGCCGUCGGAUGUGCCCAGAUGGGAUUAGCUAGUAGGUGGGGUAACGGCUCACCUAGGCGACGAUCCCUAGCUGGUCUGAGAGGAUGCCAGCCACACUGGAACUGAGACACGGUCCAG